AGACUUUGGAUCCUUCCUGAGGACGUGGAGAAAACUUGCUGCUGAGAAGGACAUUUUGAAGGUUUUGUUGGCUGAAAAAGCUGUUUCUGGAAUCACCCCUAGAUCUUUCUUGAAGACUUGAAUUAGAUUACAGCGAUGGGGACACAGAAGGUCACCCCAGCUCUGAUCUUUGCCAUCACAGUUGCUACAAUCGGCUCUUUCCAAUUUGGCUACAACACUGGGGUCAUCAAUGCUCCUGAGAAGAUCAUAAAGGAAUUUAUCAAUAAAACUUUGACGGACAAGGGAAAUGCCCCACCCUCUGAGGUGCUGCUCACGAAUCUCUGGUCCUUGUCUGUGGCCAUAUUCUCCAUCGGGGGUAUGAUCGGCUCCUUUUCCGUCGGACUCUUCGUCAACCGCUUUGGCAGGCGCAAUUCAAUGCUGAUUGUCAACCUGUUGGCUGUCACUGGUGGCUGCUUUAUGGGACUGUGUAAAGUAGCUAAGUCGGUUGAAAUGCUGAUCCUGGGUCGCUUGGUUAUUGGCCUCUUCUGCGGACUCUGCACAGGUUUUGUGCCCAUGUACAUUGGAGAGAUCUCGCCUACUGCCCUGCGGGGUGCCUUUGGCACUCUCAACCAGCUGGGCAUCGUUGUUGGAAUUCUGGUGGCCCAGAUCUUUGGUCUGGAAUUCAUCCUUGGGUCUGAAGAGCUAUGGCCGCUGCUACUGGGUUUUACCAUCCUUCCUGCUAUCCUACAAAGUGCAGCCCUUCCAUUUUGCCCUGAAAGUCCCAGAUUUUUGCUCAUUAACAGAAAAGAAGAGGAGAAUGCUAAGCAGAGUGAGUAUCCUUCACACCUUACUACAUGAAUUAUAUGGUUGUGGUUUGUUUUAGGGAUUAUUGUACUGGACCUACUUUCUGUUACACUCUUUCCCUGCCUCUCAGAAUCCAAGUGAGGAGGGUUCUGAUUACUCCUGAGUAAAAUUUUCAGCCCCUAAAGAAUGAGGUGAAAAGGCGGGUUUAGGAAUGGAUGCUAUCAGGCCGGGUGUGAUGGCUCAUGCCUGUAAUCCAGCAUUAUAAGAGGCCGAGGCGGGUCACCUGAGGUCAGGAGUUCAAGACCUGCCUGAAACAACAUGGAGAAACCCUGUCUCUACUAAAAAUACAAAAUUAGCCGGGCAUGGGGGCGCAUGCCUGUAAUCCCAGCUACUUGGGAGGCUGAGGCAGGAGAAUCAUGUGAACCCGGGAGGUGGAGGUUGCAGGGAGCUGAGAUCAUGCCAUUGCACUCCAGCCUGGGCAACAAAAGUGAAACUCUGUCUCAAAAAAAAAAAAAAGGAAUGGAUGCUAUCCAUCACCUCAUCUCGUGCGGCCCUUUCCUGGCUGCCUUACAGGAAGAAUGAAUUCGGGGCAGCACAUUCUCUUUAUCCUUUCCUCUUUCUUCUUUUCACCAGUCCUCCAGCGGUUGUGGGGCACCCAGGAUGUAUCCCAAGACAUCCAGGAGAUGAAAGAUGAGAGUGCAAGGAUGUCACAAGAAAAGCAAGUCACCGUGCUGGAGCUCUUUAGAGUGUCCAGCUACCGACAGCCCAUCAUCAUUUCCAUUGUGCUCCAGCUCUCUCAGCAGCUCUCUGGGAUCAAUGCUGUGAGUGUGAUACUUUAGGGUCAAACGUGUCUUAAGUAUUUCACUUAAAAUGCCGGGCAUGGUGGCGGUGUGCCUCUGUAGUCCCAGCUACUCAGGAGGCUGAGGUAAGAGGAUCACUUGAGCUCAGGAGUUUCAGGUUGCAGUCAGCUAUAAUUAUGCCACUGCAUUCCAGCCUGGGA
rnacentral:sRNA from 1 species